GCACGCAGCCCACGUCUUCCGACGGUCCGGGUUCUCCCGCCCUUCACGGGGCUUCUGUCGUGAACCCUCUCACGGCAGCUAUGAGACUGCUGCGCUCCCCAGACGAGGAGACCUGGUCUCCCGGAGCCAGCGAGGGGACGCACAGCCUCACUCAGGAGGGAGCCAGUAACACUGAACCUGAACCCAAGCCAGCCUUAGACUGAACUUUCAAAGUACAAUUAAACAACGCCGUGAGGAAAUGGAACAUUCGACAAGGUGUGAUGACCGUGUCGUGUCAUGCAGAAAAAUGUCCUUAUUUCUAGGAAUUGCAUGCUGAGAUCUCGAGUCUUGCUUUGUCGCCCAGGCUGGAGUGCAGUGGCGUGAUCUCGGCUCACUGCAACCUUUGCCUCCCAGGUUCAAGUGAUUCUCCUGCCUCAGUCUCCUGAGUAACUGAGAUUACAGCUCUGGGACAAACCAGCUUCUAUGUCAUGAGUACACUCAGGCAGCUCAUUGGAGAGAUCUGCAUGGUAAAGCAAUGAGGCCUCCUGCCAGCAGCCAUGUGAGUGGCAUCUUGGAGCCAGACCCUCCAGCCCCAGUCAAGCCUUCGGAUGCCUGCAGCCCUGGCUGACAUUUUAACCACAACUUCAUGCGAGAUUCUGAGCCAGAAUCACCCAGCUAAGCUGCUCCCGGGUUGCCAGCUUCCAGAAUCACGGUAGGAUGACCUCUCUCCCCUGCUUGGAAGUUACGUAUAUCCAGCAACUUUGAAAUUGAGUAAGACUGGGAUGUGUCAUCCCCAAGAGGGCACUUCAAGAGCCAGUGUGCCAUCACAACCUCUUUCUCUCCCUCUAUCAAACCAGUUGCCAGUGUUAUAAAUAAUGAGACCAUGCUCUAUCAGCUUGGGGCCAGGGGUUGGGGUGAUGUGGAGCAGAGCUGUUAGCUGACCCACCAUGGAUGUGUAGCAGCGGAAGAAGCAAGCCAUGUGCUGUUGAAGCACCCACAUUUUGGAUGUUACUGCAGCACAACCUGAACUAUACUGACUGAUGCAG